UUGUUAUGCUGUAUGUAUUGUUACAAAUGAAUUGUUCAGAUCAGAGGGAUUAGAAUUGGUAAAUUGGGUGAGACUGUUGCACAGCUUUGGGAAGUUCUCGGGUUCUGUGCAAAAGCCUCUGAACAAUAGAGGACUCACACAUGUCCUCUACUUGUACAUGCUAAUCUCAUCUAUCACCAGCAACAUCGAGAUAAACAACAGCAAGUAAUAUUAUCUUGUUAUAUAAACUGUGCUAAAAUAAAUGUUCAAUAGUGUAA